AUGCAGGUGCCUCCAAGAAGAAAGCCAUGGAUCCGCUUCUUUCUUUGCUCAGGGACAUCUAUUGGGUUUGGUCUUUGGUGUGAGUGUAGCGGCCGGAGCUGGCGCCGGCGCCAUGCCCGAGCUAGACCGCAACGCGGCAUCCGCUGUUGUCGGCGACGACGACGACGAGAGCGCGGGGGAGGCAGCGAAGACGAGGCGGUCGACGCAGAGGCUCUCCGAGAGGUGACAGACGCGGCAAGAUCCUCAAUAACGCCAGCUCAAGCUCGUCCACGACCUGCGGCGAGCCGGACGCGACCACGUCCACGGCGGCGAGCCGGGCGCGGCCACGAUCACGGCAGCGAGUCGGGCGCGUCCACGGUCGUCGGAAGCCGGUGGUGGGCAUGA
rnacentral:rRNA from 1 species